AACGAACGCUGGCGGCAUGCCUAACACAUGCAAGUCGAACGAGGCCUUCGGGUCUAGUGGCGCACGGGUGCAUAACGCGUGGGAAUCUGCCCUUGGGUACGGAAUAACUCAGAGAAAUUUGUGCUAAUACCGUAUAAUGACUUCGGUCCAAAGAUUUAUCGCCCAAGGAUGAGCCCGCGUAAGAUUAGCUAGUUGGUGGGGUAAAAGCCUACCAAGGCGACGAUCUUUAGCUGGUCUGAGAGGAUGAUCAGCCACACUGGGACUGAGGCACGGCCCAGACUCCUACGGGAGGCAGCAGUGGGGAAUAUUGGACAAUGGGCGAAAGCCUGAUCCAGCAAUGCCGCGUGAGUGAUGAAGGCCCUAGGGUUGUAAAGCUCUUUUACCCGGGAUGAUAAUGACAGUACCGGGAGAAUAAGCUCCGGCUAACUCCGUGCUAGCCGCCGCUGUAAGAC
rnacentral:rRNA from 1 species